CUGAGGUCUCACUACAAACAAGCGGCUGCUGGAAGAGAGUAGGUGAGUUGUGUUUUGUCUCUUUGCUAAAGAAAUGAGUCAAAGUUAAAAAGAUGUUUGGUGUCUAGUACUAUGUCUGUGACCCUAUAUGUCCUGUUGAUGAAGUUAGGUGCUGUUCUGAGCAUUAUUUGUGGUUAUAGAGUGGCGUUUUGGUUGAGCGCGUGGCUCUCUGUAUU